rnacentral:rRNA from 1 species
GUACGAGAGGACCGGAGUGGACGCAUCACUGGUGUUCGGGUUGUCAUGCCAAUGGCACUGCCCGGUAGCUAAAUGCGGAAGAGAUAAGUGCUGAAAGCAUCUAAGCACGAAACUUGCCCCGAGAUGAGUUCUCCCUGACCCUUUAAGGGUCCUGAAGGAACGUUGAAGACGACGACGUUGAUAGGCCGGGUGUGUAAGCGCAGCGAUGCGUUGAGCUAACCGGUACUAAUGAACCGUGAGGCUUAACCUU